CCUAUGAGCAGUGACAGAAAGCAUUGUCACUGACAAGCCCCUCUCCACCUUGUGGAGACCAGAGGAACUAGAACCCUUGCCCCUCUGUGUGUGUUCAAAAGACAUCAUCUGGGUGAAGCUUCCUGCUCUCCCACCUCGCCAUGGCCACCUGGCUCCUCUGCUCUGUGACCCUUGGCCUCAUAUUAGUAGAGCACACAGAUGCUGGAGUUGUCCAGACACCCAGGCACAAGGUGACAAAGAUGGGACAAGAAGUAAUACUGAAUUGUGAGCCAAUUUCAGGCCACAAUGACCUUUACUGGUACAGACAGACCUUGGAGCAGGGACUGAAAUUGCUGAUUUAUUUCAAUAAUAAAGCUCCUAUAGAUGACACGGGGAUGCCCAAGGAACGAUUCUCAGCUAAGAUGUCUAAUGGAUCAUUCUCCACUCUGAAGAUCCAGCCCACAGAACCUGGGGACUCAGCCGUGUACCUCUGUGCCAGCAGCUUAGCCACAGAGCUGCAGAGUCACCCCCUCCCUGUGCAGAAACCCUUUUGGUUCCCUUUCUCACUCCAGCCUUUAGUCAUUCUGAUUGUAAAAGUCUUCCCUGCAACUCUCUCACCAAGAGAAAUGCAUGGUUUGGGGACAUAG